AUUAAAAAUUUAAUUAACUUUCGUAUAAUUCCGGGAAUUGGCCCGGAAGUCUCUACUCGGUCACCGUAAUGACCAGGCUACGAAAUUUCAGGGUGCGAGC
rnacentral:ncRNA from 2 species